rnacentral:rRNA from 1 species
CGGAACGGGUGAGUAACACAUCGGAACGUGCCCAGUAGUGGGGGAUAACCCGGCGAAAGCCGGACUAAUACCGCAUACGACCUACGGGUGAAAGCAGGGGAUCGCAAGACCUUGCGCUAUCGGAGCGGCCGAUGUCAGAUUAGCUUGUUGGCGGGGUAAAAGCCCACCAAGGCGACGAUCUGUAGCUGGUCUGAGAGGACGACCAGCCACACUGGGACUGAGACACGGCCCAG